rnacentral:rRNA from 1 species
UGGGGAAUAUUGGACAAUGGGCGAAAGCCUGAUCCAGCCAUGCCGCGUGUGUGAAGAAGGUCUUCGGAUUGUAAAGCACUUUAAGUUGGGAGGAAGGGCAGUAAGCGAAUACCUUGCUGUUUUGACGUUACCGACAGAAUAAGCACCGGCUAACUCUGUGCCAGCAGCCGCGGUAAUACAGAGGGUGCAAGCGUUAAUCGGGAUUACUGGGCGUAAAGCGCGCGUAGGUGGUUCGUUAAGUUGAAUGUGAAAGCCCCGGGCUCAACCUGGGAACUGCAUCCAAAACUGGCGAGCUAGAGUAGGGCAGAGGGUGGUGGAAUUUCCUGUGUAGCGGUGAAAUGCGUAGAUAUAGGAAGGAACACCAGUGGCGAAGGCGACCACCUGGGAUCAUACUGACACUGAGGUGCGAAAGCGUGGGGAGCAAACAGG